AUUUAAAAUUUAAACUACAUAAAAUAUUAAAUAAAAAAUAUCAAAUUACAAGAGGGAAUAAUGAUCCACCUAGCUGGUCGGUUGAGCAUGCACGAACCGAGUCCAAGCAAUCAUUUCUCAGCAUUCUUCAUACGCUUUCCAUAUCAAAUAAAAUAUUACAUAUAAAAGACUCAAAGUGGGGAAGAUAUUGUAGUAAUCUUACACGUAUCAACUUCACUUG
rnacentral:misc_RNA from 1 species